AUGAACGCUGGCGGCGUGCCUAAUACAUGCAAGUCGAGCGAACAGAUAAGGAGCUUGCUACUUUGACGUUAGCGGCGGACGGGUGAGUAACACGUGGGUAACCUACCUAUAAGACUGGAAUAACUCCGGGAAACCGGGGCUAAUGCCGGAUAACAUUUAGAACCGCAUGGUUCUAAAGUGAAAGAUGGUUUUGCUAUCACUUAUAGAUGGACCCGCGCCGUAUUAGCUAGUUGGUAAGGUAACGGCUUACCAAGGCAACGAUACGUAGCCGACCUGAGAGGGUGAUCGGCCACACUGGAACUGAGACACGGUCCAGACUCCUACGGGAGGCAGCAGUAGGGAAUCUUCCGCAAUGGGCGAAAGCCUGACGGAGCAACGCCGCGUGAGUGAUGAAGGUCUUCGGAUCGUAAAACUCUGUUAUUAGGGAAGAACAAAUGUGUAAGUAACUGUGCACGUCUUGACGGUACCUAAUCAGAAAGCCACGGCUAACUACGUG
rnacentral:rRNA from 1 species